rnacentral:rRNA from 1 species
CCUACGGGGGGCAGCAGUGAGGAAUAUUGGUCAAUGGGCGAGAGCCUGAACCAGCCAAGUAGCGUGAAGGAUGACUGCCCUACGGGUUGUAAACUUCUUUUAUAAAGGAAUAAAGUGCGGCACGUGUGCCUUUUUGUAUGUACUUUAUGAAUAAGGAUCGGCUAACUCCGUGCCAGCAGCCGGGGUAAUACGGAGGAUCCGUGCGUUAUCCGGAUGUAUUGGGUUUAAAGGGUGCGUAGGUGGGUUGUUAAGUCAGUUGUGAAAGUUUUCGGCUCAACCGUAAGAUUGCAAUUGAUACUGGGAGUCUUGAGUACAGUUGAGGUAGGCGGAAUUCGUGGUGUAGCGGUGAAAUGCUUAGAUAUCACGAAGAACUCCGAUUGCGAAGGCAGGUUACUAAACUGCAACUGACAUUGAUGCUCGAAAGUGUGGGUAUCGAACAGGAUUAGAUACCCGAGUAGUC